GGUUUUAAGAGUUUGGUUUCAAAAAUUGGUUUCGAUUAUUGUUCGAUUGAAGUUGGUUUUGGAUUUCUACAUCUCAUUUUUCUAUUUAGAACUAAAUCUGGGUUCAAUUCUACUGUUGCUCACUGCUGAUCCAUCAUCUUUUUCGUUGCUUUUUUUCAUUUCCAGGUAUAUUUUGAUCUUCAUGGAAUUCACUUAAGCAAGUAAUU
rnacentral:lncRNA from 1 species